rnacentral:rRNA from 1 species
AGCGAACGCUGGCGGCAGGCCUAACACAUGCAAGUCGAACGAACCUUUCGGGGUUAGUGGCGGACGGGUGAGUAACACGUGGGAACGUGCCUUUAGGUUCGGAAUAACUCAGGGAAACUUGUGCUAAUACCGAAUGUGCCCUUCGGGGGUAAGAUUUAUCGCCUUUAGAGCGGCCCGCGUCUGAUUAGCUAGUUGGGUGAGGUAAUGGCUCACCAAGGCGACGAUCAGUAGCUGGUCUGAGAGGAUGAUCAGACACAUUGGGACUGAGACACGGCCCAAACUCCGACGGGAGGCAGCAGUGGGGAAUCUUGCGCGAUGGGCGAAAGCGUGACGCAGCCAUGCCGCGUGAAUGAUGAAGGUCUUAGGAUUGUAAAAUUCUUUCACCGGAGACGAUAAUGACGGUAACCGGAGAAGAAGCCCCGGCUAACUUCGUG